UUAAGCGACUAAGCGUACACGGUGGAUGCCCUGGCAGUCAGAGGCGAUGAAGGACGUGCUAAUCUGCGAUAAGCGUCGGUAAGGUGAUAUGAACCGUUAUAACCGGCGAUUUCCGAAUGGGGAAACCCAGUGUGUUUCGACACACUAUCAUUAACUGAAUCCAUAGGUUAAUGAGGCGAACCGGGGGAACUGAAACAUCUAAGUACCCCGAGGAAAAGAAAUCAACCGAGAUUCCCCCAGUAGCGGCGAGCGAACGGGGAGCAGCCCAGAGCCUGAAUCAGUGUGUGUGUUAGUGGAAGCGUCUGGAAAGGCGCGCGAUACAGGGUGACAGCCCCGUACACAAAAAUGCACAUGCUGUGAGCUCGAUGAGUAGGGCGGGACACGUGGUAUCCUGUCUGAAUAUGGGGGGACCAUCCUCCAAGGCUAAAUACUCCUGACUGACCGAUAGUGAACCAGUACCGUGAGGGAAAGGCGAAAAGAACCCCGGCGAGGGGAGUGAAAAAGAACCUGAAACCGUGUACGUACAAGCAGUGGGAGCCUCUUUAUGGGGUGACUGCGUACCUUUUGUAUAAUGGGUCAGCGACUUAUAUUCUGUAGCAAGGUUAACCGAAUAGGGGAGCCGAAGGGAAACCGAGUCUUAACUGGGCGUUAAGUUGCAGGGUAUAGACCCGAAACCCGGUGAUCUAGCCAUGGGCAGGUUGAAGGUUGGGUAACACUAACUGGAGGACCGAACCGACUAAUGUUGAAAAAUUAGCGGAUGACUUGUGGCUGGGGGUGAAAGGCCAAUCAAACCGGGAGAUAGCUGGUUCUCCCCGAAAGCUAUUUAGGUAGCGCCUCGUGAAUUCAUCUCCGGGGGUAGAGCACUGUUUCGGCAAGGGGGUCAUCCCGACUUACCAACCCGAUGCAAACUGCGAAUACCGGAGAAUGUUAUCACGGGAGACACACGGCGGGUGCUAACGUCCGUCGUGAAGAGGGAAACAACCCAGACCGCCAGCUAAGGUCCCAAAGUCAUGGUUAAGUGGGAAACGAUGUGGGAAGGCCCAGACAGCCAGGAUGUUGGCUUAGAAGCAGCCAUCAUUUAAAGAAAGCGUAAUAGCUCACUGGUCGAGUCGGCCUGCGCGGAAGAUGUAACGGGGCUAAACCAUGCACCGAAGCUGCGGCAGCGACGCUUAUGCGUUGUUGGGUAGGGGAGCGUUCUGUAAGCCUGUGAAGGUGUGCUGUGAGGCAUGCUGGAGGUAUCAGAAGUGCGAAUGCUGACAUAAGUAACGAUAAAGCGGGUGAAAAGCCCGCUCGCCGGAAGACCAAGGGUUCCUGUCCAACGUUAAUCGGGGCAGGGUGAGUCGACCCCUAAGGCGAGGCCGAAAGGCGUAGUCGAUGGGAAACAGGUUAAUAUUCCUGUACUUGGUGUUACUGCGAAGGGGGGACGGAGAAGGCUAUGUUGGCCGGGCGACGGUUGUCCCGGUUUAAGCGUGUAGGCUGGUUUUCCAGGCAAAUCCGGAAAAUCAAGGCUGAGGCGUGAUGACGAGGCACUACGGUGCUGAAGCAACAAAUGCCCUGCUUCCAGGAAAAGCCUCUAAGCAUCAGGUAACAUCAAAUCGUACCCCAAACCGACACAGGUGGUCAGGUAGAGAAUACCAAGGCGCUUGAGAGAACUCGGGUGAAGGAACUAGGCAAAAUGGUGCCGUAACUUCGGGAGAAGGCACGCUGAUAUGUAGGUGAAGUCCCUUGCGGAUGGAGCUGAAAUCAGUCGAAGAUACCAGCUGGCUGCAACUGUUUAUUAAAAACACAGCACUGUGCAAACACGAAAGUGGACGUAUACGGUGUGACGCCUGCCCGGUGCCGGAAGGUUAAUUGAUGGGGUCAGCGCAAGCGAAGCUCUUGAUCGAAGCCCCGGUAAACGGCGGCCGUAACUAUAACGGUCCUAAGGUAGCGAAAUUCCUUGUCGGGUAAGUUCCGACCUGCACGAAUGGCGUAAUGAUGGCCAGGCUGUCUCCACCCGAGACUCAGUGAAAUUGAACUCGCUGUGAAGAUGCAGUGUACCCGCGGCAAGACGGAAAGACCCCGUGAACCUUUACUAUAGCUUGACACUGAACAUUGAGCCUUGAUGUGUAGGAUAGGUGGGAGGCUUUGAAGUGUGGACGCCAGUCUGCAUGGAGCCGACCUUGAAAUACCACCCUUUAAUGUUUGAUGUUCUAACGUGGACCCGUGAUCCGGGUUGCGGACAGUGUCUGGUGGGUAGUUUGACUGGGGCGGUCUCCUCCUAAAGAGUAACGGAGGAGCACGAAGGUUGGCUAAUCCUGGUCGGACAUCAGGAGGUUAGUGCAAUGGCAUAAGCCAGCUUGACUGCGAGCGUGACGGCGCGAGCAGGUGCGAAAGCAGGUCAUAGUGAUCCGGUGGUUCUGAAUGGAAGGGCCAUCGCUCAACGGAUAAAAGGUACUCCGGGGAUAACAGGCUGAUACCGCCCAAGAGUUCAUAUCGACGGCGGUGUUUGGCACCUCGAUGUCGGCUCAUCACAUCCUGGGGCUGAAGUAGGUCCCAAGGGUAUGGCUGUUCGCCAUUUAAAGUGGUACGCGAGCUGGGUUUAGAACGUCGUGAGACAGUUCGGUCCCUAUCUGCCGUGGGCGCUGGAGAACUGAGGGGGGCUGCUCCUAGUACGAGAGGACCGGAGUGGACGCAUCACUGGUGUUCGGGUUGUCAUGCCAAUGGCACUGCCCGGUAGCUAAAUGCGGAAGAGAUAAGUGCUGAAAGCAUCUAAGCACGAAACUUGCCCCGAGAUGAGUUCUCCCUGACCCUUUAAGGGUCCUGAAGGAACGUUGAAGACGACGACGUUGAUAGGCCGGGUGUGUAAGCGCAGCGAUGCGUUGAGCUAACCGGUACUAAUGAACCGUGAGGCUUAACCUU
rnacentral:rRNA from 1 species